AUUUAUAUAGUAUAAUUAAUUACAAUUAAUUUCCAAUUAAUAAAUUUAAAUACAUAAAUUAAUAUAAAUA
rnacentral:tRNA from 1 species